rnacentral:rRNA from 1 species
ACUACGGGAGGCAGCAGUGGGGGAUAUUGCACAAUGGGGGGAACCCUGAUGCAGCGACGCCGCGUGAGCGAAGAAGUACCUCGGUAUGUAAAGCUCUAUCAGCAGGGAAGAAAAUGACGGUACCUGACUAAGAAGCCCCGGCUAAAUACGUGCCAGCAGCCGCGGUAAUACGUAUGGGGCAAGCGCUAGCCGGAUUUACUGGGUGUAAAGGGAGCGCAGGCGGCCUGCUAAGUCUGGUGUGAAAACCCGGGGCUCAACCCCGGGCCUGAAUUGGAAACUGGCGGGCUGGAGUGUCGGAGGGGCAGGCGGAAUUCCUAGUGUAGCGGUGAAAUGCGUAGAUAGUAGGAGGAACACCGGUGGCGAAGGCGGCCUGCUGGACGAUGACUGACGCUGAGGCUCGAAAGCGUGGGGAGCAAACAGGAUUAGAUACCCCUGUAGUC